UUUGAAAGUUAUGGAGUAUGGAUGCGAGAAACCAUGAAAUCAUGACGAAAUCAUGAACAAAUCACGGACUAUGGAUACAGCUUUAGUAUCUUUCAUUCGUUUGUCAACCUAUCGCCAGGCUUGUACGAGUACAAAUUUUGAGGGGGCACAACUAAUUUGAACACUGCUAAAUAUUUAUACCACUUUUAAGGUUCUACAUAAGUCCUAAGUUUUUAGCAUUUAAAAACUAAAACAAUGGAGACAUGAUGUUGCAGUUUAUCAACAUGGGCACGACUAAUUGCAAUUCUUCAAAUCAUCGUCUACGCAUUUCUUCUGAUGUAUCACCUUUGGAAAAUAGGAAAGGUGCCUUCACCAGGAGCCUAUAAUGAAAGUCCGGACGAUGAGUCCGGACAUCAAAGACUGAGCAGCACAGGGGGAUUUCUAAUUUUUGCAAUUGUGACCGAGACACUGCUGCUAUUCUGCUCUGCAUUGUUGUUGUAUGGAAUUACAUAUGGACGCCCUUCUUUCUGCAAGCCGUGGUUAUAUACAAGUUGCAUGUUUCUAUCCAUCGCUUGCGUGGAUAUAUUUAUAAAUUUUGUAGUAUUAGUAUUUACUAAUCCUAGUGUCGCAUUCAUUUACAUGUGCCUUGAAGGAUUACUAAUUUCGAUUCCAAUUUAUCAAUGCUACGUUGUCAGAGAGUUUGUAAUAGAAUUGGAGGAAAACCUGAGAGUAACGAUCGGUAGUGAUGACGGGAAUGUUUUUCCCAAGCACAAUGUAGCAGAAAAGUAAGAAUGGAAUAAUAAUAUAAAUUCUACUAAAUAAAAUUCAGAAAUGUAUACAAUUUGUGUUCUAAGCUGGUAAUAGUAAAGUUAAUUACAGAUUAGGCUUCGAUCCUUUUAGUAAAAUAAAUAUAAUGCUGCAUCACAUAAGAAUAGUAAGCUUAAUAAAAUUGAUACACACGUAUUUAAGUACCAACUCUAGCUUUAGAUUGGAUGAACGAAUUCGAGUUUAUGUUUAUUUUUAAUAAAACAUCAAUAAUAUUUAUUAAAA